GAUGAAGAACGCAGCGAAAUGCGAUAAGUAAUGUGAAUUGUAGAAUUCAGUGAAUCAUCGAAUCUUUGAACGCACAUUGCGCCCGCCAGUAUUCUGGCGAGCAUGCCUGUUCGAGCGUCAUUUCAACCAUCAAGCCCCAGGCUUGUGUUGGAGCCCUGCGGCUGCCGCAGCCUCCCAAAACCAGUGGCGGGCUCGCUAUCACACCGAGUGCAGUAGUUUACUCUUCGCUCAGGGCGUGUGGCGGGUGCUAGCCGUGAAACCCCCAACUUCUCAAGGUUGACCUCGGAUCAGGUAGGAAUACCCGCUGAACUUAAGCAUAUCAAUAAGCGGAGGA
rnacentral:misc_RNA from 1 species